GGCGCUGGGGCGGAGGGCGCAACCUGGGGCGGCGGAGGGUAGGGCUGGACCCGUGGAAAGUGAAGUCCUGGAAGGAGCGCGAGGGGUCGAGGGCGGUGACCCUGAGACGGUGGAUGUGGCCAGGGCUGGAGGCAUGGCCCUACAGGCCGGUGUGCUGGCAGUCCCGGUAGCGCCCCGGAGGAGAGGAGAGGCGGCCGAGCAGAGUGGGUCUGGCGGUUCUGCCCGUCUGGUCUCCGUGGAUCCUUCUGGGGCACCAGUGCCCCCACUGUUCUGUGUGCAGUGGGUGUGCCUGACAGAAUCAAGGGUGUAGCAGGCUGGGGGCGAGGUCCUGUCUCCACCAGGAUGUCCCAUUGCUCCGCACUUAGACUGCCCUCCCUUCCUUGGAACCUUGGCAGGCCACGGAGACGAGUGGGAAAAUUGAGGACCUGAUACUGACCUUGCCGCCUGCCCAACCGGAGGCGAGGUCCCACCUGCUGAAUCUUGCUGUCUUUCCCGUCUCCAGGCUUCCAGCUGCACAGGGCUGCUCCAACCCCUGCUGGCCCACAUCUUCUGCCGCCACCGCCACCGCUGGCCUUGGUGAGGCUGCAGUGGGCUUUGGAACCCGAAUCCACUGGUUGGCACCAGACCCUCUGUGGAAAUCAGGCCCUGCUCUGAGUUACUCCAUGAGAUAUGGAACAGUAGUUUUCAAGCCUUUCCUAGCUCCCAGUUACUCCAUUUUGAAAAGCAGCAGUUUGCCAUGAGUUACCCACCCCCCCCCCUUUUUUGAGUUUUUUUAUUUUUGUUUAUUUUUUUAAGAUUUUUUUUAGUUGUAGACACAGUACUUUUAUUUUACAUAUUUAUUUUUAUGUGGUGCUGAGGAAUGAAUUCAGUACCUCACAUAUGCUAGGCAAACACUCUACCACUGAGCCACAACUCCAGCCCUGAGUUACCCAUUUAAAAAAAUAUAUUACUUUCUAGUUGUAGCUGGACAUAAUACGUUUAUUUUAAUGUGGUGCUGAGGAUCAAACCCAGUGCUAGGUGAGUGCUGUAUCACUGAGCCCCAACCCCAACCCCUUGAGUUACCCAUUUUAAGUGCUAAGUUAGAAUGACUCUAUACCUUGUUUGUACAGAUAACCCCCAUCUACCUAGCACUACCAUAGGUGCAAACUGAUAUAUAAAAAGAGACCCCCCCCCCCAAGACUGGAAAUGGCAACACACUGACCCUAUUACUUGAUCAUUCCUCAUGAGCCCUGCCCAGGAAAAUUGCCACAGCAAGAUUCUCUUACUUUCUUCCCCAGGAACUUCAGCUCCUUUGGUUUCUCCUGUAGGCAAGGACUUCAAGCUGACACUUUGAAACUGCCUGCCUUCCAUACCUGUGCCUAGGGUAAGUUCUGACCUCUGGCCCAUGACAGAUCUGACUAUCUGCAGUGAUGCUUUUGUAUUUUCAUCUGCUCCCUGCCCAUUUGCUCGGUGAAGUGUCCUGUAAUCCGAGGCUGCCUUAAUUUAGUCUUUCUGUAUUUGUUUAAAGUGUGGUAUGUUACUUGCACCUUAUAAAUGUUAGUAAUUAAGACUGUAAUAAAAUAACCUGUGAUCACCUGGCUCAUGACUACCAAAUGACUGACCCACGAGUAUUCAGUGAAUUGAAACCUAUGAAGGUGUGAGUUUAUUGUUAUUCAGUAAAUUCUGACAUUGUAGAAAGACACAAGUGGUGUCUGACCUAUGCUGACUGCAUAACUAGGUCAAGACAACCUCCUACACCGGGUCGGUUGCUCUGAAGUCACUUUCCUUCUUCAGGGUUGAGCUGGGAUCCUUGGCAGGCUGACUCUCGGAAAAGCAGCCUUCCCAAUUCCAGGAGGAGUGUCCAGGGCUGGGCUCUGCCAAGCUAAGAGCAGCCUCUAGAGGGCCGGACCCAGGGCCCUACGCCAGAGUGACUAAGGACUCCUCCGGGCUCAGCUUCCGUGACCACCGACUUGAAGCCCUCCAGAUGUCCUAGAGCGGCGCCCCGGAGGUGGGGGGCAGGGAGCAGCUGCUUCCGGGGGCUCAGGACUGGGGGCAGGGACGGACACUCCCGGAGGGUGUACCUCCCGGCGCAAGCAGAGCGCGCAGCCAGUUUGGAGCCUUCGGGCUCCAGCUCUGGGAAGAAUGUGAGGCGCUCAGAAAGACGGGCCAGGGAAGGGCUGGGGCGGUGCUCGCGGUCUCGGGAGCCCGGGAGGGGGGCUAGACUAGCUCUAGGCAGUCCGAAGGUUCCUUAGCAGAUGGAUGGUUUAGCCAGUAUUUUCACCCUCCUUUUGUCUUUUUUAACCCCUCCCAGCAGUGGGAGUAAAACUCCUUGUCUCCGCCUCUGCCACGGAGCUACAUUCCCAGCUGUUUUUACUUUCUGGAUGGUACUGUUUGCAGCACAGAAGUUCUUGAUAUUGAUGUAAAUUGUACAUAUUGUGUACAUACUUAUUAUAGCUUAUGUAAUGUACACAAUUAUGUUAAAAGUACGUAUGUUAUGAGUGGUCUGAAAUGGAGAAAUCUAGCCCAUCAACGUGCAUGAUCUCACUGUGAGGUGAGAACACCCUAACAUCCAUUCUGGCAGUUUUUUUUUUUUUUUAAUAUUUAUUUUUUUUUAGUUUUCGGGGGUGACAACAUCUUUGUUUGUAUGUGGUGCUAAGGAUCAACCCAGGCCGCACGCAUGCCAGGCGAGCGCGCUACCGCUUGAGCCACAUCCCCAGCCCCAUUCUGGCAGUUUUUAAGAACACAAUACAUUGUUAACAGUAGUCACCAGGUUGUACAACAGACCUCUCCAGUUUUCCUCCUAACUGGAACUUUGUAUCCUUUUACUAAUUUCUUCCUAAACCUUUUAGUUUGAACUAAUUUCAAAUUUAUAGAACAGUUGUAAUAAAGCAGAAAAUUCUCAAAUAACUAUUCAGAUUCACCAGUUUUUUUUUUCUUUUUUUUUCUUGGAGGGGUUACUGUAAGAUCCUUACAUUGAUGCCCAAACCUGGGACGGGGGAUCUCCCUGUCACCCAAGGCAGAACCGGCUCCCAAACUCUGAGCCCAACUGUUCCUGUCGUAGUCCACUCCUCUGAUCACCUGCCUGACAUCCACCACUGACUCGCGGAUCGGUGAGUUCCCCCAUCCCAUGAGCGCCUGAACCCUAACUCACCAGAAUGAGGGAAUUGACCGAUGAGUGUCCGGCAAUCCCUCCGGGAGUUUUAGGGGUAAAUGCACCCCACUCAGACCCGUAUCUCUAUCAAAGGGUAAUAAGGCCCACUGCCCACCAGUCUCAAGGCAUCACUUUUAUGUGGGACAACUGUAUACCGCUGUCUGCCCCCUGACUGGAAACAUGCACAUGUAUUCUUGUUCUCCUGUUUCCCUAUAAAGACAGUUCCAGGAGAUACAGAAAUACCAAUCCCUCUCAUGACACACAUAAGACCCAAAAGGGCGAUCCAAUUCAUACCUCUCCUCACUACUUUAGGAAUUACAGCAGGCUUGCCAAUGGGUACAGCAGGUUUGACUACCUCCCUCACAUACUAUAAUCAAUUGUCCAAAUCAUUCAUAGAUGACCUCCAACAGGUGAUUGAGCCCAUACUUACCCUCCAAAAUCAAUUAGAUUUCUUUGCAGCAGUAGUCCUACAAAACCACCAAGGCUUAGAUCUACUCACAGUGGAAAAAGGAGGCCUCUGCCCAUUCUUACAGAAAGAAUGUUGUUUUAUGUUAAUCAGUCAGGGAUAGUGAAAGAUAAGAUUAAAAAACUACAGGAACAACUAGAAAAAAGAAGGCUGCAAUUGGUACAACAAUCCUAUUGGGACCUCUUCACAAACCCCUUAUCUGCUGGAGUCUCCCGAUGCUAGGACCUCUAGUUGGGGUCUUUUUAUUCUGUGUCUUCCUUCUUUGCAUUUUAAAUUCCUUCAAGGACAAAUUAACAAAAUCUCUAACCAAACUUUCAAUCAGUUCCUCCUCAGGGAUUACCAGCUACUUGCCAAUGAGCUGGACAACACUUAUGUCUACUCAUACUGAAAAGCCUCCACCAAGUGCUGAAAGACGAAGAUACCAAAUGACAACUCCACCGAAGGGCCAUCUCUACCCCACCAUUCCAAAGAAAUAAGCCCUUGGUUUUUAGCCAUAUAUGUUCUAACCUGCCUUCUCCUGAGCAUAGGUCUUUUUAUCUACCAGCCCUGGAUGACAUGGAUGACAUGCCAGAAAUUAAUGCUGUCUCUUUUGUUCCUUUUCGUAGCUGCAGAUUUGUGGCUUGCACUGUACCUCUGAUCCUCCUCUUAAUGAAGAUGACACCUGUUACCCUCUGAUGCAUGCAAUUCUUACAAGCCCUAGGGGAAGAUAGUUGGCUUAUCUCUCCCCCUGGGCCACCCCAAUGAAUGGCUCAUUAUAUCCAACAAUUUGUGGUUGCAGGGCACGUUCAUGGACUUCUCCCCGGAGGAAAUCCAUGCUUUCAGCACAUGGAUGUGGGGCCUCCUGGCCCUCCUUCUCCAACCAACUGACCUCCCUCCCUCUAAACAACACCCCUACUUAGCAGGAAGAAGCCAGAACUAGUAUGAUGCCCCCAAACCAAAACAAAAAAGGGAGGAAUGUUGGUAAAGAUGGCGCCCGAAGUGCAUCUCUUCCGGGAGUUCAGGUCCAUGAUGCACUGAAUGGCGUGAACUACCACCUAAGUGGCACAAACCAUCACCUCCAAUCCCUGAAAUGGCGCAAACUGUGACCUCCCACCCCUAGGAGACUAAUACCCUGUCCUGCCCAGAAAUGGACCCUUGGUCAAUAAAGAAGUAAGAGCCAACUCCCCAUGCUCAUUCUCUCUCUCCCCCACUUCUU
rnacentral:lncRNA from 1 species